UACGUAGGGUGCAAGCGUUGUCCGGAAUUAUUGGGCGUAAAGCGCGCGCAGGUGGUUCCUUAAGUCUGAUGUGAAAGCCCACGGCUCAACCGUGGAGGGUCAUUGGAAACUGGGGAACUUGAGUGCAGAAGAGGAAAGUGGAAUUCCAAGUGUAGCGGUGAAAUGCGUAGAGAUUUGGAGGAACACCAGUGGCGAAGGCGACUUUCUGGUCUGUAACUGACACUGAGGCGCGAAAGCGUGGGGAGCAAACAGG
rnacentral:rRNA from 1 species